GAAACCAUGCAAGCAAAUGAUUGGCCCCAGUGUGGUGGUGUAAAUUGAGAAAAGAAGAGGCCCUAGCCAUGAGCCUUUGGACACCCCAGUGGAGAGGCAGUGAGAGGAGGAAAUGUGUCUUUGCCAAGACACAUUGUAGGAAAUCCCAGAGAGGGCAGAGUUGUGGGCUGCAUCUCUGGUAGCUGGGCGUUUCUCCCCAGCUGCAGGCAAUCGGCGUUUCACACACCUGUCUCCUGUGAUCAUCAGGACUGGUUUAUACCCUGCCAUCUCCUCAGUUCCCCGCCGGAUUAUUACGUCUUGUUUGUAGGUAACGCUACGACCUGCUUAACCUGCCUCCUGUUACCCCGUACCAGUUUUUGACUCUGUUUUUCCUUGUGCCCUGCUUUGGUGUUUUGGAGACCCUGCUCUGCUCUUGUGUCGCUCAGUCACAGAGAAAGCCUGGCUGGAGAUUUCACCACCGCAGUCUCACUUUUCUGUCAGCCCUGUUACCUGCCUUGCCUGGCCCUGGCACUUACCUGCCCCGCGACAUCGGAGGAACCUUACUCCCAGCAUCGAGCCUAUCAAACCAUAUCUUGUGUUCAAUAAACCGUGUGAAUAUCCUUUUAA